UCUCUCUCUCUCUCUCUCUCUCUCUCGAACUCCCAGGUCUCUCCGCAUCUCCUCAUGAUGACCAGAUCCAUGUCUCUCAAAUUGGGGCAAGGAAUUUGGGCAUGGAUCCCUUUCUUAAUCACGUCUCUCUCUCUCAAACUCUCGGGUCUCUUCUCUCCUCACGUCAAAUUGCAGCAAGGACUCUUCUAUCCUUACCUCAAAUUGCAACAAGGACGUUGGGGCAUGGAUCCGCAAAAAAGCAAGGACGUUGGGGCAUGGAUCUCUUGCUCUCAAUGAGGUUAUCACGUUAAAAUUAUUUUCCUCAUGUGGAUCAGGUUCCUCUUCUCACAUUGAUUUUUUUGCUAGAUUGGAUUAAAAAAAAUCUAGGUAUUCAGUUUCAAAUAUAAUCUUCUCACAUAUGCUCCAUCACGGAGAUCGGCUUCGAGCAGAACUAAGCCCAUAAGGCUAGCUUAUAAAUUAAGCAUGUAGCCUAACAUAGACCAUCUCAAAUCAAGGUCGCUCUGUUCCUUGUCAGCAUCGUCAUUGGUCAAGCUUCUCCUGUUUGGUGCGACGGUUGCCUCUGUUUAGUUGCUUUUCACCCAGUUUUCUAACGAUUAUUUUUUCGUUGGUUCAAUCACAUUGUUAGGCUUUGCACUUCCUAUGUCAUACAAACUAAUCUUUCUCUCCAAUUAUAAAGUCUUUGAUUUGGCUGAGACUAUAACAAGUUCUAAUCUUCAAAAUUGUGUUCGCUUACAGGUCAAAUUCUUUUGUUUUCCAUUGAAACAAUGGCAUACGAUAUGCUCGAUGCGAUUAACAAUGGGAAGGAUUCCUGGAAAGUGAAGGUCAGAGUAAUUAGUCUAUGGGACGUCGUUAACCUCAAUAACAAUGAACUAAUUAGCCUUGACAUGACACUGCUUGAUGAACAGGCCAUUGAUCCAAGAAGGUUUAGUAUACAUGAUGGAGAAUUUUAAGGUUACACCUGCCAUGAAUUUCAAUACAGUCGAAGGCGACAAGAUUAUUAACUUCUUGCACACAACAAAAAUUCAAGAGAUUAAGGACUUAAAAAUAUCAGAAUAGCAUAACAAAGUUCCAUGUUUUGUAGUAUUGAAGUUCUUUCCACAAGAGAUGGCCAGAGGAUGUACUUUUCCGAUGUCAUUGGGGCAGGAAGUUAUAUAGGGAAUAUUGAAGAAAUGGAGACAACCCAUGGGAUUUCCAAGAUUCGAGAUAAUGUACUUCAAAUUGAGUAAGUACACUUAAAUAAAACGGUAGGAAUAAAAUAUCAUGGCUGCUCAUAGUCAUGUCUGUUGGAAUAUACAGGGAUCAAAAAGUUAAUAUUAGUCCGUGGUAAUAACACUAGUGUGCGUUGGUUCUAUACAAACGGUUUUUAACCCCUUUCCGCGACGGCAUUUGGGACCGUCGCCAAGUGAGUGUGGGCGAUAGGGUGUCCUUCCCACACGACCCAGAAACCGUCGGGGAUAUGGAGCAGUGAUCCAGAGGCCUUCCAAAAUGUAAUCGUGUGCAAUGCAGCACACACUAAAU